CAGAAAGCGUAGCAAACAGUCUUCAUCUGAACAUCGGUUCGAACACACACGCGUUUUGCAAUUUAGUCACGCCAAAGUCGAUGAAGCUGCGUCGCUACAGUUAAAUAAGAAAUUUUUAACAUUACCGCAAAUUGUUAGUCAAGUAGCAAAAUUUUCGACACACAUACAUGCAUAUCUAGUUUGUUUUUAGCUUUUGCAAAGCUGGUGUAUUUUGCGGUUACGAAUUCUGCUGUCAAUGCUACGCUUCAUUUUGACGGGUUUUCCGCGUUUAGCAAAUCCAUUAUUAUUUUUAUUUUUAUAUUUAUUUUUGGUUUGUUUGUUUCUUUCUGCGUGUUUGCUUUGUUGAUGUCAGUUUUAUUGCAACAGUUUGCUGGAAACUAGUCGGACGUGUUUAUUGUCUGAUUCGAUUCUUUGUCGCAGAGCGGAGAAGCGCCUACAAAGAAGCACACAAAUAUAUGUGCAAUUACAUACAUACAUACAUUCGCUGAAGUGCAAGUCAGCGUGAUUUUGUGUAAUAGAGAGCUCAUAAAUAAAGAAUUAACUUUUGAAGAAAAAAAAAAAUAAUCAAAAAAGAAAAGAAUAAACAGCUUAAGAUUCUUGUGCUUGUAGCGCAUAACAAGUUCCUGAUUCAUUGUUUACGCCAAGUCGAAAGGCCGCCGAAGACGGAGCGAUUUUUUGCUGUUUCAUUUAAUUUUUAUUACUUGAAAAAUUCUUAAACAUUUUUUUAUGAUUUGUGCUGCUGAAUAAGCAGCGAAAAAGUGAUUGUGCAUUUAACAGUGUUGUUAUUGUGUUGCAACUCGAGAACAAGGAAGCCUGAAAAAAAUUGAAAGUUAAACUUGAAACUGAAAUUGAAACUGAAAUUAAAACUGUAUCUUACAGCAGCUGAUAUUUUCCACUUACUACAACCACAGAGAACUUAUAUGGACUUAUGAGUGGUGGCCUAGAUAUCGAUUUAUAGAGACAAACAUUGUUAAAUGAAGCAUCAGGCAUUCAUCCAGUUAGAAGGAAUAUAAAAAUAGUAACAAAACGCCGCCGGCAAUAGCAACGACAAUAGCAGGCAACAGCCGAGGGUGAACAGAAUUCAACUAAAAUUGCAUGAACAGCCAGUGGGCGUACGACGGCGGCGACAAGUCAACGCCAACACACACGCACGCAUUUCUACAAGUGCCAGUGAAUAGAGACAUUUUCACAUACAUAUGCGCCUUUAUGCAUAAAUCAGAAGGGACAAGAGCCAAGUCGCAAUCGCCCCGAGAGAACGAAAACGAAAGCGAAGUCUACAACAACAACAACAAUAGCGAAGCAUCGCAGUAAAGGCUUCCCUUUUUGCGUAGGUUUGCUGUCACUGCUACUAUUUUAAUACUAGCGCAGCAGCAAUAACAACAGCAACAACAACAAAAGCAGUAGCAGAAAUAAUAUCAGUAAUACGCCAUUGCCAUAGCGACAACUAUCACUGCACCAGUGUUGAACUGAAUUGGUCUGCUUAACAUCAAUUGUAACACUUGACGAGACAAUAGACGAACCGGCGGGUGGUGAGUAGAAAGAAGAAAAAGAAGAAGAGGAAAACAACAAGUAGUAAAACAGUGUUGUGAACGAGCCCCUAGCAGCAAGUGCAGUGAAAGAAGUGACAUAAGAGAGAGAGCGGGUGAGAAGGUGAAAAGUGCUGUAGCAGCAAGAGGCAGAAUACCAAAACGAUAGUCAGCAACAUUGCAUGCACAUCAUUUUUGGAGCACAAAGACGUUGCAGCCAUUGAGGGACGUGGAAGCAACCAAAAAGAAUUAUUGCCAACUACACCCAGUGGGAGCACAGCACAGCACCGAGCAGCACAGUGAAUGAAUAGUGGCAGCGUCGACGCUCGCAACCAAGUCUUGUCCCCAAGACCUUACCGAUAUAUACAUAGUAUAUAGCCAUUGUUGCUGUUGUUUGCAUAAGUGAGGCAUAAACAUUGGCGGCCAAGCACUAAACCAGCAACAGAAGUUGUAGUGGUAAAGGCAAAAGCGACGACAAUAACGAAGCGGUAAAAGUGCGAGAUAACAACAAGGGACAAGAUAACCGCUGAGCAAAGAGCCAGCACAUAGACAUACACACAUAUACAUAUAACCCUAGAAGAGGAAGACAUAAGACGGAAAGUAGUAAAAAGUAACGAAAGAGGUAUUGGACUAUUGGACAUGCAACGCCACUGAAGUCGAGUGUAUACACUUGUACGCCAAUCCAAGCCACCCACAUUGCACCACACAGCAAUCCACAAAAAACAGAGAAAAAAGGAGGUAGAAAGGCAAAAAUAAAAAUAAAAACUCAAAAUAGCCAUUCCAGACGAACGCGUGCGCCAGAGUAUACAAAAACGAAGGUCGACGGCGAAGCAGCUGAAGAGCAUUGAACGCUGCGACUACUGGCUGCUGGCUCUGGUUACUGGCUGUUGACAGCAACAAACAUAACAACAUAGUUUCUGGUAGAGUGAAAACAACAACUGUAAGCGACACAGGGGUACGACACCCGCACGCACACACUCACACUUACACACAACAAGAUAACCAAGUACGCGCUACACGCCACGCAUAGUGGCAUAUAGAACGUGUUACGUAUACGACACGACGUACCCACGUCGCACGACGACAAGUGUUGUGCAAGUGAACGAGUUUGCUCCCAUAUUACUGCUCACUGUUGCUUUUGUUUUUCGUUUUUCGUUUUUGAUUUUAUUUGGUGUGGUAGCAUAGAGUGUGACACUUUAAGAGCAAGCGACGACUACUAAUACAACUACAAAUACAGCAACAACAACAACAAUAACAACAGCAGCGCUAGCGUCAAAAGCACGCCGCGCAAAUAAAAAGCAACAAAAAGGCAAAGAGAAAAACUUCAAAAAAUAAAAAAAAACCACCAACAACAACAGUAACAAUCACUUUUAGUCUAGUACCUAGUAACAGUAGCAGCUACAAAACAUGGAUGCCGAAACAGAAGGUUUGCCACCCAACAACACCAUCGUGGAGGUGACAAGCACCGAAACGGAUUUGGCAACCCGACGUCGCCUCUUCAAGACACAGCCGUCGACAUUGGCCUCCCGGCGACAACAGGCGGUGUGUGUGCGAAGGGCGCACAAAAUGUAUGGAAAUAGCAAAAAUCCGAAUGUCGUGUUGGAUGGCCUGAAUAUGACUGUUCCUAAGGGCUG